rnacentral:rRNA from 1 species
GACGAACCGUGCGAACGUUGUUCGGAAUCACUGGGCUUAAAGGGUGCGUAGGCGGGUCACCAAGUCUGGGGUGAAAUCCUCCAGCUUAACUGGAGAAUAGCCCUGGAUACUGGUGGUCUCGAGGGAGGUAGGGGCAGCUGGAACUUCCGGUGGAGCGGUGAAAUGCGUUGAUAUCGGAAGGAACGCCGGUGGCGAAAGCGAGCUGCUGGACCUCUUCUGACGCUGAUGCGCGAAAGCCAGGGGAGCGAACGGG